rnacentral:lncRNA from 1 species
CCUCUGUGCACUCUUUGGGUUGUGUAGUGUUAACUCACGCGGUUGACACUGAAAGGAAUGCUAAAACAGUCCUUAAAAAUAAUUGCAUGUAAUGAUCCCUUUCCCUGUUUUCCUGCCUUACCAACGAUCUAUUUGCCCUUUUCAGUUCAGGCACAGCGUGGGGCGAGCUGAGCCUUCCCUACAGAAGGCAGCUCCUGCUCCCAGCCCCGCUGCCCCGCUCGGGGCCGUGGGACCGGGGGGAGUCCAGGAAACCCGGCCGGGGAGAAGAGGAAACCGACGUGUGAGCUGCGGGUGGCUGUGCGUCAUGCCAGGCCUUUGGCUCUUGUUUCCUUCUCCUGAACUCGUGCAGUGUGCGCCGUUCUGUGCAGGAGAUGCCAUGGGGUAGGCUCCCUCCCUGCUGCAGACAGGUGGUGACCGGUUAUCCGGGUCCAUGCCACGCUCCAGCAGACUGCUUCCCUCUGGAAGUUCUCCUUCCCUCUGGAGAGCAGAUGUCCCACGAAGGAGCCGAUCGGAUCCAUUGGGGCUGGCCACGUGAAUGGCAAACUCUGCUCUGCAAAGCCUUGGAAAUGAAGCCCACCUGAAACCAAUCCCGGCUUUGGCCAGAGGGUUUCAAGGAAUAAUGUGCUUGCUGUACCCAUCACUGCCCCCCCAGCCCUCAAAAUGCAUUCAGAGGGGGACACAGGCAGCGGUGCAUUGUGCCUCCCAGCUGCGCUCUGAGCGUCCUUCGUUCCACCUCCGCUCCAAGUCUGCUCUCCUCCCGUGCCCUCGCUGCUGUCACUGGGCUGCUGCCUCCGUGCUGGGGUCUCAGCCGCUGAAUCUUCGCCUUCGAGCAAGUACUGACAGCCCCCUCGUGUUAAGUUUUGUAAACACUAAUUUGUGACAUCUCCUGUGGCUGAAAUCAAAGCGCUCAAGUAAAAGUAAUAAUACCACCGCUAAAGUGAAUGUUACAGAAGAAAACAUCUGUCAGCAGAUGCUGAAUGGAGACGACACCGAGCGCGUUCCGGGAGAAGUUCCUAUCGAGGAGGUGCUGGGGAAGCAAUGCUGUCUUCCCGGCCCGGAGCUGUCGGCCCCAUCACCUGCCUGGCCAAGGCAAGAGGGGAGGUUAUCACUUCGCUCCUUCUGUUUUGCAAUUGCCCAGGUGCACGCAAAAGGAGGGGAAUGGCCUGGCUCCUGCAGGUGCUCCUUUGGGCUGCAGCUGUGCGUCCUGCUGCCACAUCUGAUCACAGGGCCCAGAGCCUGUGCUCACUGCUGUACGGUCACACGUUUCCUCCAGUCCCUUAAAGCACGCAGUUGAACAGCCAGGACAAGCAAUUUUCUUUUAUUAUGAUUGGAAUAUACUGCCCUUUCCUAUUUGUGUCUACAUUUAUCCAGCUUUCUUUGUCGUCCCUUCAUAUUUGCAUUGGUUGAAUCAAAAGCAUCAUUCCUCCUUUUCCUUUGCCAGUGCCCUCAACUCUCUUGUUGUACUAUGGGAACUUUUCAUGUCUGGCAAGAAUGGAAACAGUAGAAACCCACAGGUGUUAAUUUUCAAAGAAAUAUCCGUAAGCAUUUGUAGUCUAACCAUAAUACAAGGUCCUGAGCAGGUAGCUGAGCUGGUUGUACCAUCUGCUGUGUCUAAGCACGUUGAAGGAUAAAGCAAGCCUCUGACAACAUACGAGAAGCCCAAGCAAACUGGGAAAGCAGAUAGUAUUGCCAGCAAGAGAAACAUCGGGUUGUGUAAAUUCCCAGUCCCAUGGGAUUGGUAGGCAGCAGGAGAAAUGCCUGAAGUGAUGUGAGCGUGUGAGCUGCAGGCUGGGGGAUGAGACUGAAGCCAGCAAGGCCCACUCUAGAAACCUUGCGUGUAUUUAGGCAGAGACAAUGCUUGCAGAAAGCUGGAACUAUGG